rnacentral:rRNA from 1 species
GACGAACGCUGGCGGCGUGCUUAACACAUGCAAGUCGAACGGGCCUGUCUUCUUUUUUGGGGGGUGGGUUGAGUGGCGAACGGGUGAGUAUCACGUGAGUAACCUGCCCUUCGGUCCUGGAUAACCGCUUGAAAGGGCGGCUAAUACGGGGUGGUCCGGUUGGUCCGCAUGGGCUGGUCGGGAUAGAUUCACUGUUUUUGGUGUUUCGGCGGGGGAUGGGCUCGCGGCCUAUCAGCUUGUUGGUGGGGUGAUGGCCUACCAAGGCGGUGACAGGUAGCCGGCCUGAGGGGGUGGGCGGCCACACUGGGACUGAGGUACGGCCCAGACUCCUGCGGGAGGCAGCAGUGGGGGGUAUUGCACAAUGGGCGGAAGCCUGAUGCAGCGACGUCGCGUGAGGGAUGGAGGCCUUCGGGUUGUGAACCUCUGUUUCCGGUGGUGAAGGCCCUGUCCGUGUGGUGGGGUUGACGGUAGCCGGGGAUGAAGCGCCGGCUAACUACGUG